UACGGAGGGUGCAAGCGUUAUCCGGAUUCACUGGGUUUAAAGGGUGCGUAGGUGGGUCUGUAAGUCAGUGGUGAAAUCUCCGAGCUUAACUCGGAAACUGCCAUUGAUACUAUAAAUCUUGAAUUAUCUGGAGGUAAGCGGAAUAUGUCAUGUAGCGGUGAAAUGCUUAGAUAUGACAUAGAACACCAAUUGCGAAGGCAGCUUACUACGGAUCGAUUGACACUGAGGCACGAAAGCGUGGGGAUCAAACAGG
rnacentral:rRNA from 1 species